CAAAGUGAGAACUGGUUUUCACG
rnacentral:siRNA from 1 species